UGAUCGAAUUACCUUGACUCCCGCGUGGAGAACACAAACGUUUGAGCCGGCUAACGAUUAUCUCUGUCAAACGAACGAGUAGAUGGAGGCUGUUCGAGACAUUGAUCUAUGUCGUUCCUGACAGGAGAGAAAGACAAACAGCGAUCGAAUAGAACAAUCGUUUGAACGUUUCACGAUUAGUGCCGAUCGUGAUAAGAAGAAAGGGAGAAAAAGAGAGGAAAAAGAAAGGGAGAAGGGGACGCGACAGGGACAAACAAGGAGCUGUUUCUAAAGUUCGAACGGUGCCGCGGCUACGCUAGAAAAAAAGAAAGGGGAGCGCAAAGAAGAAAGGACAGCGAGGUGGAAACAGAGCUAGAAAGAAGGAGAGAAAGAGAACAGGGGGCAGGAGGAGGGAUGGAGCGAGUCCCUCUCUAUUGAUUUCCUGCCGAGGGUGGGCCAACGAAGGGAGGAUUAAGUAUCGGCUCUCUCGUUGCUGCUUUUCCCUCUCUGUCUCCCGUUUUCCCCUUUCCCCUUUUUCGCUCCUUUACCGGCUCUGCAGCAAUUCGACCAGCACUUGCCCGAGACGGACAAAGAGGGACGAGAAGAAAGAGCAACGAUCAAGCCGAAAGGAGGAAGAGGAAAGAAACGAAAGAACGAGACGGAAAAAGGAACAAUUCAAUGAACAAUAGCGACAGCACGAUGCGUCAAAGAUGCAACAAGAAUUUCGAUAAGGGCAGCUAAGGAAACGAACGGCGAGUAUCUACCGCAAGGGCUGAACUUUCGAACGAUCUUAUCGAUUUCCAGUGGGAACACGGUCACGCACAGAUGCGCAAAAUGAAUCAAGAAGAAAGGGACGAAACGAUAAUGCACCGUCGUCCACGAUACUGCACCAUUGAUUUAGUAGUGGUUAUC
rnacentral:misc_RNA from 1 species